rnacentral:rRNA from 1 species
AUACGUAGGUGGCAAGCGUUAUCCGGAAUUAUUGGGCGUAAAGAGUGAGCAGGCGGUUAAUUAAGUCUGAGGUUGAAGCGUGGGGCUCAACCCCAUAAAGCCUUGGAAACUGAUUGACUAGCGUACGGGAGAAGUGAAGGGAACUCCAUGUGUAGCGGUGAAAUGCGUAGAUAUAUGGAAGAACACCAGUGGCGAAGGCGCUUCACUAGCCCGAAACUGACGCUCAGUCACGAAAGCGUGGGUAGCAAAUAGGAGUAGAUGCCCUAGUAGUCCACGCUGUAAACGAUGACAACUAAAUAUUGCCGCGAGGCAGUGUUGAAGCUAACGCAUUAAGUUGUCCGCCUGGGGAGUACGGUCGCAAGACUGAAACUCAAAUGAAUUGGCGGGG